CCUACGGGUGGCAGCAGUAGGGAAUAUUGCUCAAUGGGGGAAACCCUGAAGCAGCAACGCCGCGUGGAGGAUGAAGGUUUUAGGAUUGUAAACUCCUUUUGUCAGAGAAGAUUAUGACGGUAUCUAACGAAUAAGCACUGGCUAACUCCGUGCCAGCAGCCGCGGUAAUACGGAGGGUGCAAGCGUUACUCGGAAUCACUGGGCGUAAAGGGUGCGUAGGCGGGGUAAUAAGUCAGAUGUGAAAUCCUGUAGUUUAACUACAGAACUGCAUUUGAAACUGUUACUCUGGAGUGUAGGAGAGGUAGGUGGAAUUCUUGGUGUAGGGGUAAAAUCCGUAGAGAUCAAGAGGAAUACUCAUUGCGAAGGCGACCUGCUGGAACAUUACUGACGCUGAUGCACGAAAGCGUGGGGAGCAAACAGGAUUAGAUACCCCUGUAGUC
rnacentral:rRNA from 1 species